rnacentral:rRNA from 1 species
AACGUAGGAGACGAACGUUAUCCGGAGUUACUGGGCGUAAAGGGCGUGCAGGCGGUCUGAUAAGUUCGGCGUGAAAUAUUCCGGCUUGACCGGGAUAGGUCGUCGGAGACUGUCGGACUAGAGGGUGAUAGAGGCGUGUGGAAUUCCGGGUGUAGUGGUGAAAUGCGUAGAGAUCCGGAGGAACACCAGUGGCGAAGGCGACACGCUGGGUCACACCUGACGCUAAAGCGCGACAGCAUGGGGAGCGAACGGG